CAGUAGCCACGGUAAUACGGAGGGUGCAAGCGUUAAUCGGAAUUACUGGGCGUAAAGCGCACGCAGGCGGUCUGACAAGUCAGAUGUGAAAUCCCCGGGCUUAACCUGGGAACUGCAUUUGAAACUGUCAGGCUGGAGUCUUGUAGAGGGGGGUGGAAUUCCAGGUGUAGCGGUGAAAUGCGUAGAGAUCUGGAGGAAUACCGGUGGCGAAGGCGGCCCCCUGGACAAAGACUGACGCUCAGGUGCGAAAGCGUGGGGAGCAAACAGGAUUAGAUACCCCCGUAGUCCCUGUCCCUUAUAC
rnacentral:rRNA from 1 species